AUUGAACGCUGGCGGCAGGCCUAACACAUGCAAGUCGAGCGAGCGGCGGACGGGUGAGUAAUGUAUGGGGAACUGCCCGAUGGAGGGGGAUAACGACUGGAAACGGUAGCUAAUACCGCAUACUAUCAGAUGGGCCCACAUGGGAUUAGCUAGUAGGUGGGGUAACGGCUCACCUAGGCGACGAUCCCUCGCUGGUCUGAGAGGAUGACCAGCCACAUGGGGACUGAGAAACGGCCAAGAUCCCUAGGGGAGGCAGCAGUGGGGAACAUUGCAAAAGGGGCGCAAGCCGGAUGCAGUCAGGCCGCGGGUAUGAAGAAGGCCUUGGGUUGGUAAGGUACUUUCAGCGGGGAGGCGUUACCCGCAGAUGAAGCACCGGCUAACUACGUGCCAGCAGCCGCGGUAAUUC
rnacentral:rRNA from 1 species